rnacentral:rRNA from 1 species
AACUUUAACUUCGGUUAGAGAUUUCUACCGGCAAACGGGAGAGUAACACAUUGGUAACCUACCUCUAAGACGGGGAUAGCUCAUCGAAAGGUGAAUUAAUACCCGAUAGUAAUGGGGGGUCAUAUGACAUUCCCAUUUAAAACUUUUGUGCUUAGAGAGGGGCCUAUGGCUUAUCAGCUUGUUGGUUGGGGUAACGGCCCACCAAGGCUAUGACGAGUAGCGGGUGUGAGAGCAUGACC